rnacentral:lncRNA from 1 species
ACCAGGCACACGUUUGGUUUGCCAUCUCAAAAGACAGUAGUUACGUAAAUAACUUUUAAACAAAGUUGUCAGUCUCAACAAAUUUAAGUAAAAUGUAGCAAUGAGAAUGGGUACAGUAUUAAACCAUCAAAAUCCCUAAGCAGAUAAUCCAAAAAGAUAAAGGCAAAAAUCACAGGACUUAUACUAAAACUUCAAAUUGAGACUGCCACAAAUCUAAGCAUAUUGCAACUCAGUUAGAUUUCACGUGCUGAAGAACAACGUUGUAUGCUUCAUGUUCCUCGCCGAAAUCCUACAAAAUGAAAAUAGUCAAGCACACAUAUGCAGAGGAUGAAAAUAGAAUCCAAACAUUUCUAUUCCGGAUUAAACAUAUACCUUGACAACCACACAGGAGCAACCAGUUACCUUCCUAGCUUUUCCUUCUGAAUCAAUUUUGCACAACUGCAUGAAGGUGCGUCACAAAAUCAGUACAAAAGAAUGACAAUUUUGAAAGCAUAAAAAAAUACCAAAACAAUAAGUUCUUUAUUUAUGGCAAAGUUAUAAACAUAUAGAUUAAAAUAAAUGAGGUUACAGAGAGAUCAGAUAGGAUACACAGAGUAAGAGGGGUACUCUAAACAGAAACACAUCACGAAGAAAAACAAAUCACCCCCCGGAGCAGCAGAGUACAAGACAAAACAAAGGCAAAUACAGUACAAGCUACCAAACCAGCCUCCCCAAACCCAAGGAAUACACCAGAAACAAUAACUAAACAACAUUCAUCAUCUAAAUUUAAGAACUGCCCACCGCUCUUGACAUUCCAGGGUUGUAGACUAUUUAUACGGAUCGGAGGAGUCUGAUGAGAAAGAUUUAUCAUCUCAUGCAUCACAGUUAGGAGGUUUGAGUGUCACGCCUAUAGAGAUGCAAUUACUUGUUGGAUUUCUUAGACAACAAAAGGUUUGUCACGAGAGGUUUCAUUAAUUGCGUAUUGGCGCCCCUCAUGAUUAGGGUCAGGAUUUGCACCAUGAUGUUGGGGUAGAUGUCACUCCCACACUUAUUUUAAAGUAAUUCAUGAAUUUAUUAAAAAAUAUAUAAUUGAGAGUUGUGGUCAAAUGGAUGUCAUAAGGAAAUGGAUUAAUCUAGGUUUAUAGUAAUGCAAGGGCACUUACACCAGCCCAUUCUCCAAGGGUCUUUGCAUUUGGAACAGUCAACAAGCUGACGCUGUGUUCAGCACAAAGGGCUUUCACCAACUUGACGUAAUCAGGUUGGUCACAAUCCUCAGCAAGAACACAGAGCUGUGCAGCAUGCUUCUCGAUCACUUUAGCACUUUCAUGAAGACCGCGUGCAAGUCCACCAUAAGCACGAGACUUUCUCAACACAAGCUGAACUGCGGUCAUAAUAUCCAUUGGCUCUCCUGGAAUUCCAGCUGCAGCAACAACUGGCUCAGCUACAACAACUUCCUCUUCUCUGAAGAACGAAAUGUUUCAUAACAGUCAGAAAAUCAUCAAGUAAUCUCUUAAAACCCCUAUUCAAGACACACAAAUGGAUAACAAUUGCACAACAAAAAGUUUCUCUACAGUCAGAGAUUCACGUGGAUCAAAUCACAGAAACCGAAAAAUGUCUACACACUUAUACCCAGCAGUUUACAAUAAUUUUUUGAUCUGGGAUUAAGGCAUCAUUAGCUUCAUUUGACCAUAAUUAUCCUCGUAAUCAAGGAUCGCAAUGCAACCACAACAUAAAAACUUGAAUUUAAUUUUGAAAAAUAUAGUUUUCAAAAUGUGUUCUAAAUUUCUUAUAGUUACUACUGAGGGCUAUGGCUAUCAGAUCCAACUAUUUCAAAAGCAGUACUUAAAAUUAAAAUCAAAUCUAUAAUGCAUUUGAAAGUUUACAAACACAGUUUACGAAAGAAAAUAAAACUAAAUGGAUUGGAUUCAACAAAAAAAUUGCAAAUAUUGCUCAUAAAUUACCCAUAAGAUAAUGAAUACACCAUUAACAAGUAGAAUCUGUAAAUUAAGCAAAAAUGGACAUACCCAGACAUAAUUGCAAGUUGAUUUCAAAGAGACUCUUGUUCCUUUCUGCACAAAACAAACAUUAACAAAACAAAGUGAGAUUUGGUUGUGGGUAGUGAAGAGGGUUUGAUUGAGAGAAGGAGAGAGUGACCUUGUUGUUGAAGACGAUUGUGCCGCCGAAAACCCUAG